rnacentral:rRNA from 1 species
GUGCCAGCAGCCGCGGUAAUACGGAGGGAGCUAGCGUUGUUCGGAAUUACUGGGCGUAAAGCGCACGUAGGCGGCUUUGUAAGUUAGAGGUGAUAGCCUGGAGCUCAACUCCAGAAUUGCCUUUAAGACUGCAUCGCUUGAAUCCAGGAGAGGUGAGUGGAAUUCCGAGUGUAGAGGUGAAAUUCGUAGAUAUUCGGAAGAACACCAGUGGCGAAGGCGUCUCACUGGACUGGUAUUGACGCUGAGGUGCGAAAGCGUGGGGAGCAAACAGGAUUAGAUA